AUUGAACGCUGGCGGCAGGCCUAACACAUGCAAGUCGAACGAGUGGCGGACGGGUGAGUAAUGUCUGGGAAACUGCCUGAUGGAGGGGGAUAACUACUGGAAACGGUAGCUAAUACCGCAUACCAUCAGAUGUGCCCAGAUGGGAUGCGCUUGUUGGUGGGGUAACGGCUCACCAAGGCGACGAUCCCUAGCUGGUCUGAGAGGAUGACAAGCCACCCGGGAACUGAGACACGGUCCAUGGUCCUACGGGAGGCAGCAGUGGGGAAUGUUGCACAGUGGGCGCAAGCCUUAUGCAGCCAUGCCGCGUGUAUGACGGAGGCCUUCGGGUUGUAAAGUACUUUCAGCGGGUAUGCGUUACCCGCAUAAGAAGCACCGGCUAACUCCGUGCCAGCAGCCGCGGUAAUAC
rnacentral:rRNA from 1 species